CGCACCAUCUCUCUGCUGCCCUCGGGGUUUCUGUCAACUGCUGCUAGAAAGGAAAAAACCCUUUGGAGAGUAAUCUUUUACUGUGGUCAUGCCAGAACCCACUAAGAAAGAGGAAAAUGAAGUGCCCGCCCCAGCCCCUCCCCCAGAAGAGGAAGAUGAGGCCUCUCCGCCGAGUGCCCUGCCUCCAGAAUGGUCUCUUGGUGAGUCACCUGCUGGCGGGGAGGAGCAGGACAAACAGAAUGCCAACUCACAGCUGUCCACCCUGUUUGUUGAAAAACCGCAAACCGGAUCGGUGAAAGUCGGUGCAAACAUCACCUUUAUAGCCAAAGUUAAGGCUGAAGAUCUUCUUAGGAAACCCACUGUCAAAUGGUUCAAGGGGAAAUGGAUGGACCUUGCCAGCAAAGCAGGGAAACACCUGCAGCUGAAGGAGACCUUCGAGAGGCAAACUCGGAUAUACACAUUUGAAAUGCAGAUCAUCAAGGCCAAAGAGAACUAUGCAGGAAAUUACAGGUGUGAGGUCACCUACAAGGAUAAAUUUGACAGCUGUUCAUUUGAUCUUGAAGUACAUG
rnacentral:lncRNA from 1 species